rnacentral:rRNA from 1 species
CGUGAGAUGUUGGGUUAAGUCCGCACGAGCGCAACCCUCACUGUGUGUUACAUGUGUCACACGGGACUGCCGGUUUUAAGCCGGAGGAAGGCGGGGAUGACGUCAAGUCAGCAUGGCCUUUAUUAUCUUGGGCUACACACACGCUACAAUGGUCUGUACAAUAGGUUGCCAAGCCGCGAGGCGGAGCCAAUCCUGAAAGCAGGCCUCAGUUCAGAUUGCAGUCUGCAACCCGACUGCAUGAAGAUGGAGUUGCUAGUAACCGCAGGUCAGCUAUACUGCGGUGAAUACGUUCCCGGGUCUU